UUCAUUCUUUUCUUUGAGUUAUUUCAGGAGUUGAAAAUCCAAAAUUUCUCGAUUGCCAAACAACAGAAAGAAAGAAAAAUAGAAAAAUGAGCAAUCUUUCAAUAAACCCGCUAAUAACGCAUCCGAAAUUUCGCGCCAAUAACAGUGUAAAGUCCAAAAACGCAUCGAUAAUAGUUCGAAUUGAUAAUUCUCAAAGGAAAAAAGAUCAGCAGCAGGACCUCAAUCUUUCUGUUCUUCGCUUCACAUUUGGGAUACCUGGAUUAGAUGAGUCAUAUCUACCCAGAUGGAUAGGAUACGGGUUCGGAUCGCUUUUGGUAUUGAACCACUUUCUGGGUUCUAAUUCUGUUACCAGUCUGCCACAAAUGAGGACGGAGGCUCUGGGCCUUUCUUUGGCAGCAUUCUCUAUUGCACUUCCUUAUUUUGGAAGAUUUCUCAAAGGUGCUACUCCAGUGGAUCAGACAGCGCUUCCUCAAGGAUCUGAGCAAAUUUUUGUGAUGUCAGAAAAUGUGUCUGAUACUCUAAAGGAGGACUUGGCUUGGGCAACCUAUGUUUUACUGAGAAAUACAAACAGUAUAGCUGUGUUAAUUUAUAUUCAAGGUGAGUUAUGUGUCCGGGGAUAUUGGAACACUCCAGAUAAUAUAUCAAAGGCUCAGGUCAUAGAUUGGUUUAAGGGACGGAUUGAAGAUAUUGGGUUGUUUGACUUGAAGGAUACCCUUUAUUUUCCGCAGACUGCAGAAUCCAGACUCUGGGAGAUGCUUCCCAGGGGGACUCGUUCACUUCUGGUAGAGCCUGUGCUUCUACAAAAUGCCAAGGAGAUGGAUAGGGCUGAAGGUUUUGUCUUGUUGGCCUCUAGCAUUGACACUGCAUAUACUGACAAGGACAGAGCCUGGAUAGGAGCAGUGGCAAACAAAUUUGGAGUUGGAAUUCUCAUUCCCAAGAAGGAUGUUAUUUGUCCAGAUAAAGUAAUUGGUCAAGAAGGGAAUGCUGAAGAUUGAAAAUAAAUUGCUAGAUACCACGGAUACAUGGUUUGAGGAGUGUUGUCUGAGAAUGGAGAACGGCCAAAAUCUAGCAGGUUUACCAAGGAGUUAAGUUCCAUGCCGAGAUUCGAGAGCAUCAAACAUCUUACAAAAGUUUUUCCAAGCCAUAUACCAGAUUCUACAGAAAAAGACAAAAAGAAGGAUUUUACAUUGAGGCUUGCUGAAGCUUGAAGCAGAGGGAAUGAAGAAAAAAAGAAAUGAAAAACAAAACAAUGGGUUACCUUUAGACGGAUGACCUUUCUAAUAGCCAAGAGUAGGCCAGACAUGAGGCAUUGCACAUCUGUGAUAUCAUGUUUGAUAGAGUAUACCUGAGGUCAACAGCCACAAAGUAGAAAGGAAAAAUUUCAACUUUUCAAUGUUUUCCAAUGAUAAAAAAAAAAGUCAGAAAUUGCACCUCUCCUGGUUUAGAGAAGUAAACUGUCGUGCUGGAGGGAAGCCCUGGUAGGACUAAGCUAUGCACCCUGACACCAUCUUCUCCAAGAACUUGGCCCCUAGCCUUGCAAUAAAAGGAAAAUGAACUGUAGUAGUUUUGAUAGCUUUUGGCAUCAAAGAAAUUCCGGUAUAUUUUAACUUUGCGAAGUGGCUUCUUACCAAAACAUCUGUUGAUAGAUCUUCUUUAUUGUAGAUCUGGCCCAGGUUGGAGAGGUUCUUUGCAAUUUGGUUUGCAUCGGCUGAUGGAAGGUCCUGUAUAUAAAAGAAAAUUCGAAAUGCAAUAUCUAAUGCUUCAUCCUCAAGGUUUGGUUCACUGUGUUUGAGCAUGAGCAUAAUUGGUAAGAUGCAGAUAGAAUUUCAUUUAACUUACUGCUCCGUGUGCCCUUGAUUCCACAAUCUCUACGUUAUUAUAGUGAAAAGAAGCUGAAAUCGCGGCUUGCUGCAGGAGUAUUGAUCCUAUGGAUAGAGUCGGUGCAACCAGACAACCCUGUUGUUUGUGCAGCCCAAUUUGAAAGUGUCGUAAUUGAAGAAGAAAUGUGGGUCUUUAGAUGAAUGAUGAAUGGAGGUGUUCACCGUAGUUUAACUGUAAUAAUAUCUCACCCUAUGCUCACCAUGCUGGCCUUCUCACAGAGUGCAGAUAAUGCAGCAAUUGUAUCUACUUUAAUUCGAGGCACGUAGACUAUACUUUUCAUGCCAAAUGCUGUUGCCUAGCAGUUUACGGAAGUUGAAAGAAAUCUGUGAUUAGUUGCUGUUAAUAGAGAUAACAACGAAAAUACAAACUGUUUGUUUAUGCA